GAUUAAUUGGUCCGUCAUCUGCUCCUUCUGGUCGCUCCACCUUUGCAAUCUUCUGAAGAGAAGCUUUACAAAAACAGGGAUUUAGUGAUAUUUCUCAGAUGAAAUCCGCAUUAAAAGAGAGAAAUCCAUCACAAUGGAACAGAUCCAUGUUGCAAACGCCGUUUUGGUUGCAUAGUAAUAAGAUACAGGGUAUAAUUUCUGCUGUUAUAGGUGUGAAGGCUCUCUCUCCUAUGGACAGCCCCAGACCUGUUCUCCAUAGAAUGAUACCCUAGGUGGAGAGAGCGGCGAGACAAACCAUCCCUUUAAAUCUAUGGAAUGCCAGAGCCAGCGAGGAUUCUACUAGAUGCCCAGUCUCAGCUCUUCAACAACUCUCUGAAUACUCACAGGACAAUGAAACUUUAGCAGUUAAUCCCACGGACAGAUGCAAUUCUUUGCUCUCAUACCAAUCCUGGCGAUGUGCACACAGAGCUCCUCAUUCGCUUUCAACUGAAAGAGUAAAAAUAAAGAAAUACACAUAAU